AGGUGCAUUUAGAUGGUACUCCUCACAAUUUAGAAGAAAGUGAUUUCUGUGAUUUUAGCUUUCUGGACAGAGGGCUUUUCAGUUCAGAUAUUUCUGUUUGUUUUAAAGGUGCCAUGCUUGAACCUGUUCGUAAAACACGAGAUGCAACGUUCUUUGUGAAGAAUUCUAGUGAUAUUUAGGUUCCACGGGGACCAGAGCAGCCAGGUGCUGUUCAAAUUACCAUGCUGGAGCUGGCAGCACAAGGACAUGCUUCAAAGAAACUGGAAAGAUGAGUGAAGUUAACAGUACAAGUUGGUUCAAAGCUGCUAGUUUACCAGCAAUUGCCUGUCUUUUAGCUACUCCUCUAGUCUUAUACAAGUUAUAUCCUUCUGAAACCAAAGACACACCAGAUGCCCCUGCCAUGGCUGCAAAGAAAUUGGAGCAUAUGGGUCCUGUUACAAGAAAUGAGUGGGUGAUGGUCGGUACAAUGCUCCUUGCAGUCCCUUUGUGGGUCUUUGGGUACUUAAUAUACCGACUAAGAUUAAUAAGGGGACUGUUGAAAUCAUCACCCCUGUAGAGCUUAUUAAGAAGGGUUACAAGGUUGGGUCCUCCAAGGCUGCCCUCCUUGCAAAGCUUGGCAGAAGGCCAUUCUCUUAUGGCCUCGUUGUUCUUCAAGUUUAUAAUGAAUGACAAGGUCCUUUAUCUUGUCAAAGAUGUAGAGGCACAUUACCAGGAACUUGAGAAAUACUGUCUGAUACGUUUGAUGCCUUCUUCCACCAUCGAACGUACGAGACGGUCUUUCUGAAGCUCCUUGUAAUGUCCCUCUGCGUCUUUGACAAGAGAAAGGACCUUGUUAUUCAUUAUUACUUCAU